CCUACGGGAGGCAGCAGUGAGGAAUAUUGGUCAAUGGCCGAGAGGCUGAACCAGCCAAGUCGCGUGAGGGAUGACGGCCCUACGGGUUGUAAACCUCUUUUGUCGGGGAGCAAAGAGAGUCACGUGUGGUUCAUUGAGAGUACCCGAAGAAAAAGCAUCGGCUAACUCCGUGCCAGCAGCCGCGGUAAUACGGAGGAUGCGAGCGUUAUCCGGAUUUAUUGGGUUUAAAGGGUGCGCAGGCGGAGGUGCAAGUCAGUGGUCAAAUUGCGGGGCUCAACCCCGUACUGCCGUUGAAACUGCAUCCCUUGAGUGCGCGAGAAGUAUGCGGAAUGCGUGGUGUAGCGGUGAAAUGCAUAGAUAUCACGCAGAACUCCGAUUGCGAAGGCAGCAUACCGGCGCGCAACUGACGCUCAUGCACGAAAGCGUGGGUAUCGAACAGGAUUAGAUACCCGUGUAGUC
rnacentral:rRNA from 1 species